UCCCGACGGUCCGAGUCGCAGCCACAAUUAUUGGGUCUAAAACAUUCGUAGCUUGUUUUGUAAGUCUCUUGUGAAAUUUUAAAUCUUAAGUUUAAAGCGUGCAAGAGAUACUACUUAACUUGAGACUGGAAGAAGCAAGAAGUAUGGCUGAGGUAGUGGUAAAAUAUGUUAAUCUUGGCCAGACUAACAACAGCGAAGGCAUCUUGCUAGUACAGAUCUGACAGUGAGGAAUGAAGGCUAGGGUCGCGAAACG
rnacentral:rRNA from 1 species